UGAUUCGAAACUAACAAAGUGCGUGUGACGUCACUCGUACAAUUUCAACACGGAUGACGGGAUGUAAACUAGGAUGUAAACAAUCGAACGACGAAAACAUUCAACAUUUUAUAGCAUUAUCUCUUGCAACUGGAAAUUCCAUUGCCAUGUAGUCACCAACAGAGUUCUGAUAUUGCUGUAUUGAAGGAAGCGAACCACGCUUGGAUGGUGGAUCGUCAUUUAUCAAGAUGGCCAGCAUUUUGAUGCCAGAUCAAAAUGGAACUAAAACAGGGCAUCCAUGGGCUUGUACAAUCUGUGGCCAGAUUUUGUCACGGAAACAACGACUGCAGACCCACAUGGAAAGGAAACACCCAGAAAUAAUAAAUGGCA